rnacentral:rRNA from 2 species
AGCAGCCGCGGUAAUUCCAGCUCCAAUAGCGUAUAUUAAAGUUGUUGCAGUUAAAAAGCUCGUAGUUGAACUUCGGGGUCUACCCAUUGGUCAGGCUUAAUUGUCUGUACUGGUGAGAUGGAUCUCUACCUUCUGAGGAACUUUCAUGCCAUUUAUUUGGUGUGGUUGGAAAUCAGGACUGUUACUUUGAAAAAAUUAGAGUGUUUAAAGCAGACUAUCGUCUGAAUACAUUAGCAUGGAAUAAUGAAAUAGGACGGACUGAUUCUAUUUCGUUGGUUUCUAGGAUCACCGUAAUGAUUAAUAGGGAUAGUUGGGGGCAUUAGUAUUCAAUUGUCAGAGGUGAAAUUCUUGGAUUUAUUGAAGACUAACUACUGCGAAAGCAUUUGCCAAGGAUGUUUUCAUUAAUCAAGAACGAAAGUUAGGGGAUCGAAGACGAUCAGAUACCGUCGUAGUCUUAACCAUAAACUAUGCCGACUAGGGAUCGGACGAAGUUAAUUUUAUAAUGACGCG